rnacentral:lncRNA from 1 species
GGUCACUUCUCGCUUUUCAUAUAGAUAGAUAGAUAGAUAGAUAGAUCAAGCAUUUUUUUCUCCACCAGCAUUCAUUUUACUUCAUUUCAUCCUUAAGUUUAUUUCAUGCACAUGGGUCCUUCCGUUUAUUUGUUGGCAAUUUAAUUUCCUGCAACUCAAACGUUUUACAUUGAAAUCAACUCUCUCUUACGAACUAUUGCUGGUUGCGAUGGUCCAGCUGUGACACAGAAAUAGUGAGUUCGGCUGUCGGAACUGUUUUCGAGAAACGACUCUCCGACUGUUAAGUUAGAUGACUGAAAAAUCAAUGUAUGUAGAGAGAGAGAAUGUGAGCUUCUUGGAACUGAAUUCGUAUACAUCUGAGAGCAUAAGGCAUGUGAAUUGUGGCAUGAAAUGUAUAUAUACAUAUAAAAAAACAUGUACUCCAUACGGAUGUAUA